GACGAACGCUGGCGGCGUGCUUAACACAUGCAAGUCGAACGGAAAGGCCCUGCUUUUGUGGGGUGCUCGAGUGGCGAACGGGGGAGUAACACGUGAGUAACCUGCCCUUGACUUUGGGAUAACUUCAGGAAACUGGGGCUAAUACCGGAUAGGAGCUCCUGCUGCAUGGUGGGGGUUGGAAAGAUUCGGCGGUUGGGGAUGGACUCGCGGCUUAUCAGCUUGUUGGUGGGGUAGUGGCUUACCAAGGCUUUGACGGGUAGCCGGCCUGAGAGGGUGACCGACCACAUUGGGACUGAGAUACGGCGCAGACUGCUACGGGAGGCAGCAGUGGGGAAUAUUGCACAAUGGGCGGAAGCCUGAUGCAGCAACGCCGCGUGCGGGAUGACGGCCUUCGGGUUGUAAACCGCUUUCGCCUGUGACGAAGCGUGAGUGACGGUAAUGGGUAAAGAAGCACCGGCUAACUACGUG
rnacentral:rRNA from 1 species